AUGGCUUACUAUUCAGAUCAUCAUGCUUAUGCGAGCAACACUACAAAUAGCACGGAAAGUAUUCAAGACCUGAUAAGUAAGAUUUCCCAUCGAUUAGAUGAUUUAGCUCGGCAGCGAGAAGUAGUUUUUGAGGAUAGGCCUAGCUCUUAUGACCCUUAUUCUAGAGGUCAUCCUUAUGUUGCUCCUACAUGCCAUAUUUGUGGAUUUCAGGGCCAUUCACCCGCUGAAUGUCAGCAUGGUUACUCUCACCCUCCAGAUUGUUUUGGCAUGAGCUUCGCUCAAGAGCAUAGCUCAUACCAAAACAAUUACUCACAUGGGUGGCCUGAAAACCCGAAUAUGUCAUAUAGGAACAACAACCCUGAGAUCUCAUCGUUUGCCUCUAGUUAUCCAUUGCAGGGAAUUAGGUAUAAUGAGGAGAGCCACAACCAUGCACCACAACAGUUUUAUUCACCUCCUACUCAUAUACCGCAGCACCAGGAGAUGUGUCCAAUGGAGUUAAAUGGUCCUCCAUUUGGUCAACCAACAACUCCAGCACCUGUUGUGCAAUCUCAUGUGCAAGUGCCCACACAAGAUGAGUUCGAUGACAUAGACAAGCUCACACUUUUGAGUCUCGAGUUCACUUGGAGUGCCGAGGAUGAUCCUAUUAGGAAGGUUAUACUAGAGGAAAUGAAGAAGAUCAAGAGUGGGAAGGAGCUAGUGGAAGAAGUAAGGAAGAUUGAGAAGAACAUCAACGCUGGCAGUACUAUCUCUUCCCUCCUUGAGCUGAGUGUUGCUGGGAUAUCCCUUGAGGUGUGUGAGGUUUAA
rnacentral:rRNA from 1 species